rnacentral:piRNA from 1 species
GUCCAGAUGUGGCCUCUAUCCUC